AGAGUUUGAUCAUGGCUCAGAACGAACGCUGGCGGCAUGCCUAACACAUGCAAGUCGAACGCCCUGCAAGGGGAGUGGCGCACGGGUGAGUAACACGUGGGAACCUGCCCUGGGGUACGGAAUAACGUCGGGAAACUGACGCUAAUACCGUAUACGUCCUGAGGGAGAAAGAUUUAUCGCCCUGGGAGGGGCCCGCGUCCGAUUAGGUAGUUGGUGAGGUAACGGCGCACCAAGCCGACGAUCGGUAGCUGGUCUGAGAGGACGUUCAGCCACACUGGGACUGAGACACGGCCCAGACUCCUACGGGAGGCAGCAGUGGGGAAUAUUGGACAAUGGGCGCAAGCCUGAUCCAGCAAUGCCGCGUGGAUGAUGAAGGCCUUAGGGUUGUAAAGUCCUUUUGGCGGGGACGAUGAUGACGGUACCCGCAGAAUAAGCCCCGGCUAACUUCGUGCCAGCCGCCGCGGUAAUUC
rnacentral:rRNA from 1 species